rnacentral:misc_RNA from 1 species
CAUGCUCCUCAGCUCUGGGCUUGUUGCUUAAAUCAACUAAUUCUCUCUCAUGGAGAACAGCUCGACUUGAUCGAGUGGAAUCAUUUCGAAGGGGCCAUGAUUCUGAGUCUAAAAGGUAGUGGUAGNNNNNUAAAUGAAAAUGAUAGUGUUGGCGACCUUUAUGUUGAUCCCCAUCCGUGUGUAUAACACAGCUGAUUAUUCUGCAAUUAGUUUGAGUGUGCAAGACCUCUCUGGCU